AGGUCAGUAGCUCAAUUGGCAGAGCAGCGGUCUCCAAAACCGCAGGUUGUGGGUUCGAUUCCCUCCUGGCCUG
rnacentral:tRNA from 1 species